rnacentral:lncRNA from 1 species
UCAUCUUUCAGUUUGUAAUAACAUUUUGUUUACAUGGUACGAAAACAACUUCCAAAUUGUCACAUGGUGUUCUGAUGCUAUAUAUAAUAUCAAUAUCAAUAGUUUUUAAAUAUCGCAGCAUUUGAGUGUGCCAUAUUGCAUCAUUAUUCAUUAGUUUGGACAAUGGUACAUUAUCUGAUAGACUGUUUAGAUAGCCACAAUACUGUAGCGUUCAUAUUCAACCGUUAGUCUUUAUUGUAUUCUCUUACCCUCUGAUUAAAUUUUGUGUCCCAUUAAAUAUUAUGUAACUCCUUUAGUGCUUUUGAAAUUUACGAGGGUAUAACAUGUUUGUUUAGUGUUACCAACACCUAUUGGAAGAUAAAUACAAUUACUGAAACUUCAACUUCAAUUAUUUCACUUGAAUAUAUUAUAUUAACAUGUGGCGUAACCAAAAUAACAAAGCUUGUAAACUUGACACGCAGUUACAAAUAAUAUUAACAAAUAGAAAAAAAUUGCAAUAAUGGAUAGACCUGAUGAUUGACUGUAAAAGCAGGUUUAAAAACAUUUUUCAUGGAUCAAGUGCAUACCGUAUCGUCUGCCAAGGGACUCAUCUAUUUUUCUUUGGAGUUAUCUCUAUCUGGAUUCGUGAACUACAAGUAUGGCGUUUCGAUCUUCGUUUGCUCGAGCAGCUUUGUUAGUCAUCAACCUGUUUGUGUGGGGAAUCGCUACGUUAGCUGUCGUCUGCGUCCAGAAGUUAGUCGUGUAUCCAAACCGCCUGCUCUAAGUAUACAAUGGGCAGACGAAUUUCAGCGCCUACGGUGAAACAAUAUCUACAAUUCUCAUAACUACUAUUACUUGCCUUCUUUGUGUACGAGUGCGUCGACCGAUAAGUUAAAUUGCUUGACCGGAAACUGUUUUAUAUUUUCUCAUCCGGUGAGAACAUUAGACGACUGUCCAACACACACGGCAUGUUUGUAAAGUGUUUCUGUUACAGCGUAGGCACGCAUGUUUCGGAUGAUUUUUUUUUUAAAAUUCGAAGUCGCACAAUGUUCACUCAUAAUGAUUAAAGGAAGAAAGAGAUGUAUGGGGAAUACACUGCACAACAUAUAGGCCUAUGCAUAGUCCUACAAUCAUUAUUUAAACUCUUUAUGUAGCUACAGUAGAUUUUCAAAUGUACACGGCUGCUAUUUUUCGGUACGUCUUGUCUUCGUUCUUGCCAAUUAGAAAGGAAAGAAGCGUCCUAAGAAGGGACGCUA